rnacentral:tRNA from 2 species
AGCCUUGUAGUGUAAUGCACAUAAAAUUGCAAAUUUUAAAGGGAAAAAUGAGUUUUUCCAGGGCUU